CAUACUGUACCUGGUGAGCUGGUUAUUCUAAUUCGUUGUCAUUUUGCUCUGUGUAACCACCUGAUCCCCUACACACAGGUUGCCUCGGUUGGGCAAAUUCCAAAAGCUGUACUGAAAAGACAAGAUUUUAAUGAUGCCUCAAUCCCAAAUCAAAGGGAGAAUUACAGUCCUGUGUAUGUUCAGCCUCUAAGGAUGGCAGAUCCAGCAUCAGACUAUUUCCCUCACUCCCGAGCCCAGCGAGAUGGGUUUGACUAUCCCAGGAAGGAUUUGCCUUAUCCAGUUUAUCCAGAGGCGAGACAGUACCGGGUAUGUAUCAAUUACAUCCCUCUGCAUAUUAAUUAUAUCAUCUAUCCUGGUACUGAAUACA
rnacentral:lncRNA from 1 species